AGACCUUAAGAAGAGCUAAACGGGCUGCCACCUGUAGCUGAAGAGUGCCUUAACGCCGAGGCCCACGGCUCCAUGCGAGAGAUGCCUGUUCCUUCUCUGAUAAAUUUGGCAGCUUCACGUACCCUAAGUGAGUGACUUUCAAGAUUCAAAGGUUUUUUAAAAUUAUGUAUAGAUAUAUUCCUUUUAAUCGUCUUCACGUAUUGUAUAGCUUUCUGUAAUGCUCUUUCUUGGAUUAAUAGAAAAAUCCUUUGACACUGUAGACUGCCGAAUACGUUUCCCCGUGUAUUCGUAUGUCUUCAAAAGAUACUGAGGAAAUGAAGUGUUUCUCGAGUUGACAUAUUUUUUGAAGACAGCAGAUAACUAACUAAACUCAUUUUGUCAAAGUAAAAUGAGAUAGAUUCACCUCUAAAGAGUGCUUCCGCGUGGCUCUAUGGCUUAGUUGGUUAAAGCGCCUGUCUCGUAAACAGGAGAUCCUGGGUUCGACUCCCAGUGGGGCCUGAUGUUUUCCAGAGAAAAUCAGCUGUUUCUGAAAAUUGUUUUCUUGACGAAGAACUGCGUCCUCCCACUAAUUGCCAAACAUUCUCACCAAACUUAACAGCAGUAGAACACAACUGGAUAAAUCCCAAGUUGUUUAACUGCAUCCUGCUCAGAUUCCUUACUUUUAAAAAGUAAAUUUUUAGGAGGAAGACAAUGCAAAUGCAAAAAGUGCGAAAGAAUAAUGCAUGUGACCCACCUCAAUCAAUUUCGUAUGUCUUGCUUUAAACUGUGGUAAAAUGUUUUUGAGCACUUACAAUGUGUUACAGUUUAAAGCAUGUAGAUAACUGUUGUAGGCAUGCAGAUAAAUAAAAUCUCUCUAGAUUCUAAAAAUCUCCAGCUCUAUAAUUGAAUUCAUAAGAUAAGAAAUUAAUGAACAACAAACCCAUUAGUAGCUACAAACAAAAAUUAGGACAUUUGCAGGGGCAUGCUUGCCUUUUUUUUUUUUUUUUUUGAGAUGGAAUCUCGCUCUGUCACCCAGGCUCCAGUGCAGUAGCGAUUCUCAUGCCUCAGCCUCCAGAAUUGCUGGGAUUACAGGUGUGCACCACCACGCCCAGCUAAUUUUUGUAUUUUCAUUAGAGACAGGGUUUCACCAUGUUGGCCCGGCUGGUCUCCAAUUCCUGCCUCAAGUGAUCCGCCUGCCUCAGCCUCCCAAAGUGCUGGGAUUACAGGUGUGAGCCACCGCGCUUGGCCUGUUUUUUUACUUUUUAAUGAGAAAUAUUCACAAUGUGGCUACUAUGUUACUCUAAGUAUCAUAAGUAGCAACGUAAAACAUUGGAAAAUUGUCCCUAUGUUUGGACCUCACUGCUGUUCAUUUUGAUUGGGACCUUGUUGAACUAGGUCACAUCGGCUGUAUUCAAACCUCAGCUGCUACAUUUGAUGGCUAAGGGACCUUUAGCAAAUUGCUCUAGCUCCAUGGGCAUCACUUUCUUCACAUGUGGAAUGGAAAUAGUAAUAAGCCUACCUAAUAUAGUUGAUGGGAGAGCUUGUUGAGGCCCAGAAAGGACCUGUUUCCUCAACACCCUGACCAGCACAGAACAUUGUAAUAAUGACAAUUAUCAGUCAUUUAGCUCCAACUAAGCCCCAGAUAUUGUCAUAAAUUCUUUACAUAUAUUGAGUCAUAGAAUAAUCUCAAUAAUAUAUAAGGAUGUUCAUAUAAUCCACAUUUUACAGAAAAGAAAAUUGGAGUUGUGACCGAUUAAUCACAUAAUCACAGUCGUCUAAAUCACAUAGAUUGUAGAUGGAGGAAUAAGAAUGUCAGUGCCUGUGAUUGAAUGAAAAAUGCCCCAAAAGAUAUCCAUGCUCUAAUUCUUGGAAUCUCUGAAUAUUACCUUACUUUGCACAGACCCCCAAAAGGGGGGUCUUCGGAGAAAAAGUUAAAGAUGAAGAAAUUAUCCUGGAUUAUCCAAGUGGAGCUCAAAUACCAUCACAAGUGCCUUUAAUAGGGAGAGGCACAGGGAGAUUAUACAGUUACAGAAGAGAAGAAGACAAUGUGACCACACGGACACAGAUAGAAGCAAUGCCACCACCAGCCAAGGAAUGCGAGCAGCCACCAGAGGCUGGGAAAAGGUAAGGACAUAUUCUUCCCUAGAGCCUCCGGAGGGAGCAUAGCCCUGCCAACACCUUGAUUUCAAACCAGUGAUACUGAGUUUGGACUUUUGGCCUCCAGAACUGUGAGAAAAGAAGUCACUUAUUUUAGGCCAUCAAGUUUGUGGUACUGUAAUUUGUUACAGAAGCUACAGAAAACUAAUUCAACAUCUUUAAGUGCUAUUCGGCACACUACCACAAACAACUGUUUUUGUUUUGCUGUUGUUUGCCAAUCUGAUAUGUUAAAGACAUUAUCUCACUGUAUUUCUAUAGUUUCAUUUUUUAAACUUCUUUUACUUCUUACUUCUAUAUUGCUUUUAUUAUUAAAUUGGUUGCACCAACUGGGAACAACAGAUUUUAUUGUGUCUGCUAUCAACCUUAUCUCAGGCAACAGAUAGAAAUGAAUAAAAUUAACUCUUUAAAACAUAAGUUACAAAUAUUUUCCCCCCCAGUUUUACUUGAUGUUUUGUCACUGUGUUUAUGCCUUUUUUGAGGGGAUGAGGGUACAUCCCAGUGGAAUUUUUUAAAUGUUGUUUAAUGCAGUGAAUUAUGUUAAACUCUCAUUGUCUCUGAAUUUUGUGUAAAAAAUUAGUUUUCUGUACCAAAGUUAUAUAAAAUUUCUGUCUUGGAAUUUCUAGUAAUUAUAACUGUGGGUUUGUUUCAUUCUUUACUUUUACAAUUUGCUUGUAUUUGGAAUUUAUUUUAGUCUCAUAGCUUUAAGCUUUUCUUUUCCUAAGUGGCUGUCCAAUUAGCCCAACACAUGUUUUGAAUAAUCUGCCUAUUUCUAUUGAUUUAAGUUGCCAAUGAUUACAGUCUUAACCAUUUUUUUCUCUCAACUUUUGAGUGUUUCCAUUGGAGAAAAAAAACUAUUUUGGUGGCCUAACAAUGGUUUGUUCACUCUCUCAUAAUACCUGAGCAUGUCAUUUACUCAAGGCAUACAUUGACAGAAGAUUCAAGUGUGGGAAUUCAGUAUGUCUGUUGUUUACUAUUCUAUUUAUGAAGCAGCAGAGUCAGCCUCAAACAUAUUAGCAAUCCCUGUUAAUGUUUUUAUAAAUACAAAUAUUUGUUAUUUUUAAUUUUCUAAAAGUAAUACAAAGUUGUAACUAAUUUAAGCUUUUAUUAUUAAAUUAGUUGCACUGACUGGUGACAACAGAUUUUAUUGUGUCUGCUGUCAACCUCAUUUCAGGCAUAGAUAGAAAUGAAGGUGAUUUCCUUUAUUUUUAAAAUCUAAUAAAUGUAAUCCUUUAUUAAAAUUGUGUCUGUGGAAGAUUCAAAAUCUACAAACUAUUAGAAUUAAUAACUAAAUUUAAUAAGGUGUCUUUAUGCAGGGUAAAUAUAAAAAUGAAUUGUACUUUUAAACACCAGCUGUAAACAAGGGCUGGGCGCGGUGGCUCACGCCUGUAAUCCUAGCACUAUGGGAGGCCAAGGCGGGCGGAUCACUUGAGGUCAGGAGUUCGAGACCGGCCUGAGCAGCAUGGUGAAACUCCGUCUCUACCAAAAAAUACAAAAAAAUUAGCUGGGCGUGGUGGCAUGUGCCUGUAAUCCCAGCUACUCGGGAGGCUGAGGCACAAGAAUCUCUUGAACCUGGGAGGCAGAGGUUGCAGUGAGCCGAGAUCGCGCUAUUGCACUCCAGCCUGGGUGACAGAGUAAGAUCUUGUCUCCAAAAAAAAAAAAAAAAGUAGAAAUAAAAAAUUUUAAAGUAUAAUUUAUAAUAACAUAAACAUCAAAUUUAUAGGAAUAAAUUUAAUAAAAGAAUAAAUUGAAUGUUAUGCCAUAUGUAUGGAUUAAAAGUUUAUCAGUUCUCCCUAAAAUUUAUCUAGCAAUCCAAAGGAAUUCCCAUCUAAAUCCCAGGAUAAUUUUCCUUAUUGCUUUUGUGGCAAAGAAAUGAAGGUGAUUUCUGAUUUUCGCCCUGAGCUCUGUAAUUAUAAAUCUUGGUAGAAACUUCAGAAUUAAUUGCUCAAAUAAUUCAUUUUGGAAACAAGACUGAGAUUCCAGAGAACGUUCGGAAGUUUCCUUUAAUCAGCUCUAAAUGUAUUAACCUUUCCUAACCCAGAGACACAUUCAAACCGAUUCCCCUGUCUUGCCAAGUGCAGCCCAGAGAAGUAAGAUAUUAUAAAAUAGAACCUGACUGGUCCUGAGAGCGAGCUGAGAUCAAGUCUAAAGAAAAAUAAGCCCAGAAGACAAUCUCUAGAGCGAUGCUCACAUUGGGAAGGGGUUGACGCUCCGGUCCUCCAAAUAGCUGCCUCCUGAGUGCAAAUGACUGUCAGAACACCAUACGCCCAACUCGGUAGCCUACGAGUCUCUUGUGGACUUCUUUUGUUAGAGGUUUUCCCUUAGGACAUUGGAACGACGAAUCAUUAAAAUGAUAAAGAGUAGCACCUGCAAAAUUUAAUUUUAGGAAACUUUAUCACAUUUGGACAAACUAAGUAGCCUUGACUUUUACUUGUGGUUAUCCUUGGACUAGCUGAAGCAUUAAUGGUCCUAACAUUUAAGCUGCCCGAAAAUUUUUUCGUUUGUAUUAGUUCCGCAGUGCAUCUAAGUAAGCAAAACGUAUUUUUGGAGUUUGCCCCUUCUCUCACGGCAAACUGUUGCAGACUGUAGAGACGCUAUGCCAAGAAUCUUUUACUUAAAAGCAGGAAUAGAUUCAAUAGGCAACUUCACUGCACAUGUAGGCUCUAUGGCUUAGUUGGUUAAAGCGCCUGUCUUGUAAACAGGAGAUCCUGGGUUCGAAUCCCAGUAGAGCCUUAAGGUUUUCAUUUUCACUAGAAAGCCAGUUCUUCAUUAACCUCGACUGUACCUAAAUCUUCCACUGUAUUCACUAUACUGCAAGUUCUAAUGCAAUCAAUUAUAGGUUAUGUGAAGGCAAAAUUCCCAGGCUCAAAGAAGAAAAUGAGAACUUUGUGAAGUUUUGAAUUAAAUUCUGGCAGCAGAUCUUUUUUUCCAACAAAUAUUUAUUGAGCUUCUCUGUGUAUGCACAGAUUCAAAACCUAUGUAGAUGUAGAUUAUGUCAUCCCUAGAAUCCAAUAAUGUCCAGCUCUUUGGCUGAUUUCAGAAGAGUUCAUAUAAAUUAAUAUACUACCAUAAAUUAAUAAGUCUACCAUAAAACAGAUGGGAAAUUAGCAUAUUUGCAGGGUCCUACUUGCCUUUUGAAGAGAACAGGAGGAAAAUAAUUUUUAAAACCCUGUUAACCCUCUUAUAAAAUGAACUAGGAACACUUUAUAGUGACAGCCAGUUAGAAGCUAUAUUUGCCAGAGGCUGGUGCAUCUCUGGGGCUGGAACAAAAGUGCUGAAGGAAUAGAGCAAAUCAAAGAAAAUUUUCAAACAUCCAAAGCUAAUAAGGGCCAACCUUACUUGAUUAGUUUCAUUUGCAUGUGUUUGCAUAUCUCAUUAUUUUGACCGUUAAUUCAACACAGACGUAUUGACUGCCUUCUAUGUGCAAGGUACUGCUCCAAGUGCCAGGGGUAAGGCAGUUUAAUAAAUGCCAACCCCUCACCAUCCCUCCACCCCAAAAAAAUCUUACCCUCAUGGACCUUAUUAUCUAGAAGAGUAUGGAAGAUAAUGAAUAGAUAAAAACAUAAAAUAAAUAUUAUGUCAGAUUGUGGUGAAUUCUAUGGAGAAAAAUUAAGCAAACAAAGAAGACGAGGAGUGUAUGAGUAGAAACCAAGAUUUCUAUGCCCUUCUUAUAAGGCACUAGCAGAUCUAUUUUUUGUUUUCCUUUAUCUUUUAUGAGAAGUGAUCUUAGGAUGACUCUGAUCGCCAUGUUAUUCUAACAACCCUAGGUAACAUCCUUAAACAGUGAAUUGACUUUCAACUUUACCUUUGCUGCACCCUAUUACAUGCUGCCCCUCAUUAGAUCCCGACCCUGGACAGGGAUCCAUUCGAAGUCAUAUCAGAAUGCCUGCGUACAUCCCUCAGCUGUCCUCUUUAAUAACUAUGUAGUUUUGGCAAACUACAUAACUUCACUGGGCUUCACUUCCCUUGUUUGUUUAAUGAUAAUGGAAUUGUUAUAAGAAUGUUUUCAAGAAUAAAUACAAAUAAAUUACUUUUUAACAAAAAUGCUUUCAAUAAGGGUCAGCAUUAUUAUUAUUAUUUGAACAAACUUUUUUGGGGCCAAGUGUUUCGUUCUUUAAACCACACUUUAAGCUCUUAUUUCAUUUUAUGAUAAAAAUCCCAAAGCUUAACAAUUUACUAACUUCUACUAGCAAGUAAAAAAAAACUAUCUUUUUUUCUAUUCAUAUAUGUACAGAAACAAUACAGAAUUUUAAAAUAAUUAGGGAAAUAGAUCAACAGUUAAAUAAAAUAUUUAAGAGAGUGCAUAAAAAUGUUAGCCUCAUAUAUUCUAAUUGAGGUAGCAAACAUAUAUAGAAAUUUACACAAUAAUAAAAAUCAGGAUCAUCAUGAUUAAAUUACAUGCCUAAAAGCUCUUCUCUGAAUUAAAUUAUGCUAUGCACAAAAAAUUUGGUUCAUAAAUAUGCAUUUUGGUGCAUUCAGUGUGCUUUUGAUUAUGGCCACCAAGUAUUUGGAUAUGUAGAAACACCUCAAAGCAUUUCUAAGUUUAGCAACAUAUCUGUUUAACAGAUAGAAUUAUGCUUCUGUUUUAUUUGCUUUUUGUGAAAUUUCUGAAUCUCAAACUGCUAUCAAAAGACUACAUCUGGAUAAUAAAUUAUUUGUAGAAUAGAAAAACAAUGAAGAAAACAUCAAACAACUGUCAUUGACAGUGGAACACUGUGUAUUCAGAAAAUAAUUGUAGCACAUCAUAAUGUAAUAGAUUCUGGCUGCAUAUGAUCAUAGUGGCCAAUUUCAUUAUUUUUAUUUAUUCAAAAACGCAGUAGACAAUCCACACGAUUUUGCAACUGUUUUCUUUUUUUUGUACUUUUUUUUGUUUUUUUAGUAGAGAUGGGGUCUCACCGUGUUAGCCAGGAUGGUCUCAAUCUCCUGACCUCGUGAUCCACCCGCCUCGGCCUCCCAAAGUGCUGGGAUUACAGGCAUGAGACACUGCGCCCGGCCACAGCUGUUUUCUUAUACAGUUGUAAUGAUUUUACAUACUAUGGAAUAGUUGACCUAACAUAUUUUAAAAGUUGCAUCCGAUAGUCUCAAUACUUCAAAACUUACUGAUAAUCACAAAUUAUUUGCCCCAAAACUAGACAUAUGCUGGAACUUGCUGAAAAAGUAACCAAAAUAAUAGGCCUUGGGAGCAAACGGUUUUCUUAUACAUCACCUAUUAAAAAGAUUCUCCUAUCAGCAUCCCAGGAUGGAACUCAUACUGUGACAAAAGAAUAUACCUGUGUUACAAAUCUAUAAAACAACUUCAUUGAAGGAAGUAGAGUAGAAAGCUGCUGAACUAAGUAAAUUUGGAAAUAUAGUAGAGUCUGCAAGACUAAAGUCAAAAAGAACUGUAUAUAACAUUGUACUCUAGUUGAUUAAGUCGUUUACCAGGGGAGUAUGGAUUAAAAAUUCUGAAACCCCUCUACAUGGGUACUGGAAUUGAACAACUAAAUAAAUGAAUGCUAGAUGGUGAGAGCCAGGCUUCUCACUUUGGGAGGGAAAUUUUAUAGACAAGCAAGGGAAGAAGGCUAGAAUGAUACAGGUGGUAAUGGAUUAAAAUUGGAGAUAUCAGUAUGAACUCAAAUUUAGCUUAAUAUAGAUACAAAUGGAUAUAUAUUUAUAGAUAUUUGUGUGUAUAUAAUAUGUAUACAUAUUAUGUAUGUACACAUGAAACACACAUGCAUGUAUUUUGUUGGUCUGUCAGCUGAGAGGGCCUAAAGGCAACAAUAUCCCAUUACCAAUAAGGACAUCUAUUGCCCAGAUCUUGGUUUCUAAAACUGUUUUCCAAUAAAAGGAACCAGGGCUCCUUGGAGAAGUGGUGAAUUGUAGGACUGGGUAGGAAAUAUACAAGAUGAGCCUGGAGAAUCUUGUAGUGCCAGAAAGUAUGAAAGUGCUCAGAAACAACACGAUGAUGAGGGUAUGUCAAGGGACAUAGAACUCAACUAAAAGUCUUUCUAAUUGCCAAAGAACCUCUGCAGAUCUUCAGAACUCUCCCUCUCUGUAGCCCUCUUCUCCUUGGUACUUUGCCCGUGAAUUUUAGUUACUUUGGCUUCCUUGAAUGCUAACUCCCCAACUCUAGAAGAUAGUUGGGCUCUGUUUAGGUUCCUGUGACUAAAUGAGUAGUACUUUUUAUUUACUGAUACUGGAUUAAAUUUAUAAAUUUAAUAUAAUUUAUAUUAAUUUAUAAAGAAAAGUGAUAUAUUUAUGAUGACCAAUCCAAGAGCAUAGAAUGAAUGUCCAUUUAUUUAGGUCUACUUUUACGUCUUUUUUCUUUGUUCUUAGUUGUUUAAUGUGAAUGUGGGAUUGUUUUGUUUUUUGAGAUGGAGUCUCUCUCUGUUGCCCAGGCUGGAGUGCAGUGGCGCUGUCUCGGCUCACUGCAGCCUCUGCCUCUCUGGUUCAAGUGCUUCUCCUGCCUCAGCCUCCCGAGUAGCUGGGAUUACAGGUGCGCACCACCACUCCUGGCUAAUUUUUGUAUUUUAGUAGAGACGGGGUUUCACCAUGUUGGCCAGGCUGGUCUAGAACUCCUACCUCAAGUGAUCUGCCCACCUCAGCCUCCCAAAGUGCUGGGAUUACAGGCCUGAGCCCCUGUGCCCUGCCAUGGUGUGGGUUUUUACUACAGAAAAUUCCUUCAUUUCAAGGGUUCACAGGGCCCAGACAACCUGGGCUCCUUGCACUUACUUAUGAAUCAGAACCUGUAAAGACUCUCCCUUUUAGCCACUGUAAUUAGAUCAAUUUGCUGAGCUUCUAUUCUUAGGUGGAGCCCUCUCCUCCUUUUAGCAGGCGAAUUUCUGGAUUUUCCAGUUCUGAGGGCCAUCAGACGUUCAUUUCCUUUCUCCUCAUUUCCUCUCUUACAGUUGUUGUACCUUGCAUUUGUUGGUGAGUAGUUCCUACUCAGUCAUAUUUGACAGUUUGUGAGAAUACUUAAUUACCUCAUUUUGUUGAGGAUAUUGCUGAUGGGAUUUUGUUUGGUUGGUUUUCUAUCCUAAUUGUUAUGCUUUUUUAAUGGAGUGAUUCAGAAAGACUCAGCAGGUAUAUUACAGCAAUCAUCUUGCCACAAAUCUUCUAUUAUUUUAUACUUAACCAAAGUACUCUUUCUUCCUAAUCAACAUAUUUAAGUGUAUGUUUUUAAAAGGCAGGAUUAUUUUCUACUGUUUUAAUGUGGACAAUCAUAUCACUCAUUCCAAGUAUCACAGAAGAAAUCUGCUUGUCUUCCAGAGUUAGUGUCUAUAGUGUUUCCUCUUCAAAUCACUUAUUCUGAGCUCCUCUCCUGCUUGAUCCAGUCAAGUCUCUGAAACGAGCUCACAAGCUCAUAGCAGUCACUUCAACCAGAUAUAGUGAGAGGUGACAGCGUGCUGGCAGUCCUCAGAGCCCUCGCUCGCUCUCGGCGCCGCCUCUGCCUGGGCUCCCACUUUGGCGGCACUUGACGAGCCCUUCAGCCCACCGCUGCACUGUGGGAGCCCCUUUCGGGGCUGGCCAAGGCCGGAGCCCACUCCCUCAGCUUGCAGGGAGGUGUGGAGGGAGAGGCGUGAGCGGGAACCGGGGCUGCGUGCGGCGCUUGCGGGCCAGCUGGAGUUCCGGGGAGACGUGGGCUUGGCGGGCCCCGCACUCGGAGCAACCGGCCGGCCCUGCCGGCCCCGGACAAUGAGGGACUUAGCACCCGGGCCAGCGGCUGCGGAGGGUGUACUGGGUUCCCCAGCAGUGCCAGCUCACCGGUGCUGCGCUCGAUUUCUCGCCGGGCCUUAGCUGCCUUCCCGCGGGACAGGCCUCGGGACUGCAGCCCGCCAUGCCUGAGCCUUCCCCCGCCUCCGUGGGCUCCUGUGCAGCCCGAGCCUCCCCGACGAGCGCCGCCCGCUGCUCCACGGCGCCCAGUCCCAUCCAUCACCCAAAGGCUGAGAAGUGCGAGCGCAUGGCGCGGGACUGGCAGGCAACUCCACCUGCAGCCCCAGUGCGGGAUCCACUGGGUGAAGCCAGUUGGACUCCUGAGUCUGGUGGGGACGUGGAGAACCUUUAUGUCUAGCUCAGGGAUUGUAAAUACACCAAUCGGCACUCUGUAUCUAGCUCAAGGUUUGUAAACACACCAAUCAGCACCCUGUGUCUAGCUCAGGGUUUGUGAAUGCACCAAUCGACACUCUGUAUCUAGCUACUCUGGUGGGGCCUUGGAGAACCUUUGUGUGAAUACUCUGUAUCUAGCUAAUCUAAGUGGGGACAUGGAGAACCUUUGUGUCUAGCUCAGGGAUUGUAAACGCACCAAUCAGCGCCCUGUCAAAACAGACCACUCGGCUCUACCAAUCAGCAGGAUGUGGGUGGAGCCAGAUAAGACAAUAAAAGCAGGCUGCCCGAGCCAACAGUGGCAACCCGCUCAGGUCUCCUUCCGCUACGUGGGAGUCUUGUUGUUUUGUUUUUUGCGAUAAAUCUUGUUGUUCGUUUCUUGAGUCCACACUAUCUUUAUGAGCUGUAACACUCACGGGGAAGGUCUGCAAGUUCACUCCUGAAGCCAGUGAGACCACGAGCCCACCAGGAGGAACAAACAACGCCCAAUGCGCAGCCUUAAGAGCUGUAACACUCACCGCGAAGGUCUGCAGCUUCACUCCUGAACCAGCAAGACCACAAACCCACCAGAAAGAAACUCUGGACACAUUUGAGUAUAAGAAGGAACAAACUCCAGAUGUGCCACCUUAGGAGGUGUAACACUCACCAUGAGGGUCUGUGGCUUCCUUCUUGAAGUCAGUGAGACCAAGAACUCUUAAAAUUCCAGACCCAAUAGCAUUCCACCUCAUACCUUCACAUAUGCUCUGCUGUUAUGUACUUCGUUCAUAUUCUUUAGUAUUAGAUAAAUGAUAUUUUUCCCAGGAAAACAACUCUCAGCAAAAUACCUCUGAGGAUAGGAACUUGUUUUUGUUUAUUGUAUUCCCAGAACAUGGAAAGCCCUGGCAUGUUAUAGGUUUUUUUCUGAAAUAUGACUGCUUCCGUAGCGCUCUGUAUUUCACCAGUCAGAAUUUGUGACUUUUAUGUUUAGUGUAUUUUUUAAUUGCGUUUAGAGAUGGGGUUUUGCUAUGUUGUCAACGUUGGUCUCAAACUCCCACCUCGACUUCCCAAAGUGCUGGGAUUACAAGUGUGAGCCACCCGUAUAAAGCCUGCUAUUUUACUAGAGUCAAGAGUGAAGUUUCUGGCCACACAGCUAAACAAAAUUAAGCUAUUUAGACUGCUCUCAAACCUUAGCCCUGUGGGUUAGGAAACCUGAGUUAACUUUCCAUUUUCUGUGAGGAGAAGUUAGCAGCCUAAUAAACAGCUAUUUAGCCAUUUUAGUAUUGGAGAAGUUAAAUAGAAAAUAAAAUGUUAGAUAUCUAUGUAGGAGGUUCUCCAUGAAGAAUGAACAGGCCAUACGAACAAGCUGUAUAUGCAUCUUGUCUAUCUCUUGGGCUGUGUAUAUCUGCUUCUGUUUUGGAUUCAUACUCCGUUCAUCUUGAUUGUUUAGAUUUACAAGUAGGAAGAAGGGGGAACUGUGUGACAUAGCUCUGAACAACUUAGUGACAGCAUCUAACAGCUUCUGAAGGGCAACUUAGAAAGGGAGCUUUGUGGAUGAAAAAUGUUGAGGUAAAAGUAUUGUCAAUUAAACAAGGAUUUGGCCUUUAAAGCACUGUUUAAAUUGCUUCUGUUCUACCUUGUCCAAAGGAGUGAUUCACUUUGAGAUAUUCUUCAUGUGAUGGAAUGAGUUAAAAUUAAACCAGCCUGCUUAAGAAAUAAAAGUAGGACCUUAAUUUGAUUGGCAUUGUGCAUAAGCCAGUUGAAAAAGAUCAUGAAUCUUUUUUUUUUUUUUUUUGGAGACAGUCUUGUUCUGUCGCCCAGGCUGGAGUGACGUGAUCUCAGCUCACUGCAACCUCCGCCUCCCGGGUUCAAGCUAUUCUUCUGCCUCAGCCUCCCAAGUAUCUGGGACUACAGGCAAAUAACACCACGCCCAGUUAAUUUUUUUGUAUUUUUAGUAGAGAUGGAGUUCACUAUGUUGGCCAGGCUGGUCUCAAAUUCCUGAUCUCAAGUGAUCCACCUGCUGUGGCUUCCCAAAGUUCUGGGAUUACAGGCAUGAGCCAUUGCACCUGACCAAAAGAACAUGAAUCUUGUCCUCAAGAAGCUUUUAAUAUGAUUGAAAAGACCAAAUAAGCACAUACCCCAAAUACUAU
rnacentral:lncRNA from 1 species